rnacentral:rRNA from 1 species
UAGGGAAUCUUCCACAAUGGACGCAAGUCUGAUGGAGCAACGCCGCGUGAGUGAAGAAGGUCUUCGGAUCGUAAAACUCUGUUGUUAGAGAAGAACACGAGUGAGAGUAACUGUUCUUGUAUUGACGGUAUCUAACCAGAAAGCCACGGCUAACUACGUGCCAG